ACCUUCUCUUUGCCUUCUGGCUUGGAUCAAGUGUAGUACCUGUUCUUCUCAGCUUAAUCGCUGAUAGCCCUGCAUUGCAGGACACACCGAUUAAUCAAUUUUUAAUACUCGUGACUUGGCCUCUGUGCUUGCAUACGCCUCGUUGCACUGUGUCGCCGGGCCUACACUACCCCCAGCUGACGCGACUCCUU
rfam:Penicillium polonicum strain IBT 4502 PENPOL_contig028, whole genome shotgun sequence.